AGUGAACGCUGGCGGUAGGCCUAACACAUGCAAGUCGAACGGCAGCACAGUAAGAGCUUGCUCUUACGGGUGGCGAGUGGCGGACGGGUGAGGAAUACAUCGGAAUCUACUUUUUCGUGGGGGAUAACGUAGGGAAACUUACGCUAAUACCGCAUACGACCUACGGGUGAAAGCAGGGGAUCUUCGGACCUUGCGCGAUUGAAUGAGCCGAUGUCGGAUUGGCUAGUUGGCGGGGUAAAGGCCCACCAAGGCGACGAUCCGUAGCUGGUCUGAGAGGAUGAUCAGCCACACUGGAACUGAGACACGGUCCAGACUCCUACGGGAGGCAGCAGUGGGGAAUAUUGGACAAUGGGCGCAAGCCUGAUCCAGCCAUACCGCGUGGGUGAAGAAGGCCUUCGGGUUGUAAAGCCCUUUUGUUGGGAAAGAAAAGCAGCAGGUUAAUACCCCGCUGUUCUGACGGUACCCAAAGAACAAGCACCGGCUAACUUCGUG
rnacentral:rRNA from 1 species